rnacentral:lncRNA from 1 species
UUUUUUUUUUAGUAGGAUGUCAUUUAGUCUCCAGGUGUUUAUUCCCCUCUAGUUUUUUUUCUCACUGUAAUUGAUAUCUAACAUCAACGUCUUAGAGGUGGUGCUGUACUGUUUCCCAGAAUCCCCUUUCCUGAGUUGUUAUAAGGUUUGAUUUUUUAAAAAGAAUAAUUUUCUCAAGACUUGGAAAAGAAUUUUUAAGCAAUAAUCAUUAUUUUAAGGUUAUCAUGUUAGAUACAGAAUGCCUAGCUAAUUAGCAACAAGAUGUCAAGUUCACCUAUUCCAUUUCUACAUAUUUUCCCACCUGUUGGUCUUGAUAGCCAAAACUGACCCCUGGGCAGCAUAAAAUGCAGAGCCAAUAUGCUUUCAUAAACUUUCCCACCAGUCCUCUUUCAUAGUCACCUUCUGACAGCUAGAUGUGUAUGGCUUCAGGAAGUUUGAUUAGUGAUUUUCUCCAUCUCCAACUCAUCAUUCUGAGCCUUUAUUUCCACAGUUUUUCUAUAGUUGUGUGAGUUAUUUUUCUAAUUGAUUGCUGUUCCAUAAUAUUUUUAUUCUCUUUGUUUGAACCCUAACUGACAUAGUAAUUUGUAUCUGUAAGUGGGAUGCUGUCAUACUGAAAAUAUAAACUAUAUGGCAUUGGCUUUGGAGUCAGAUGGCUGAGCUAUCUGCAUUGGACUGUGAUAUGAGAAAGAAAUUAAAAUUUGUUACAUUAAGACACUGAUAUUUAGGGUUAUUUUCCAUAGGAUGGAAACUGUACUAAUUAAUACAUGUCUGCAAACAAGUCUUUCCUCACUACCCAGUCUUAAUCCACACCUAAUCUUCCCUACCUUAUCACCUCAUUUUAACUUCUAUAAUAUUUAUCUUUUUAAAAUUCAUUCAUUUCAAUAUACCAAAGCUAUUAUAUAAAUUCCGUAAGACAGAGAUCUUAUCUGCUUUUUUCUAACACAAUUGCAACAAUAAAUAUAUAUUGAAUACAUUAAUGAUGAAGUAAAUUAAUGAAUAAAAUGAGUGAAUUAAAGCUUAACACUAAGCAGGAAUGUAUGUGCCUUCAAUUGUGUAUGUUUCUGCUCUGUUUCCCUCUUAGUGUCUAGGGAUUCUUUCUGGCUUUUAUUCUAUCCAUGUAAAGAAAUCACUAAAAAUAAUUACAGAAUUUCUUAUGUUUUAUAUUCCCGUGUUCAUACAUAGCCAGCUAAGGAAUGGUUCACUGAUGCAAAUAUACUCAAAUUCAUCUCAAAAUUGACUGUGAGGAAAUUCCUCUUUAAAGUCUUUUUAAAAGAAAAUUAUCUCCUAAAAUAGAUUUGUUGAAUGAUAUCAAGGAGGCUAUUAAAAGUCAGGAAUUAGGAAAUUAGUGUUGGGUUUAUCUUUCUUGAGAAAUAGCUGAGAGAUGUUAGUUUUCCAUUUGUACAAAAUUCCACAGUACAAAUCUAUAAGGCAAGAAAUCUUCUUUCUGUACUGCUAGAGCUAAAGGUAAUCAGGUAGUAUACUUAGGACUGAGAUGAAAGGGAAAUAAUUGGAAUGACUACAUUUCCUGUAUGUCUACUAUGUACAAGCACUGUACCAAGCAUUUCAUAUAAAGUCUUCAUUUGUCAUUCAAACUAAAUGUGUAAGAUUGGUAUUCUUAACAUUUAGACACACCUGUUGAAGAUGAAGAAACUACAAUUACAAAGGCUAUUUCUCACCAUGCCUCAGAGCUAGGAAAUGCUGGAAGUUAAACACAAACCCCACAGGGGAUUUUGUGGUGGUCUUAUAGUUAGGAUUUGGAGCUUUUGUUACUGCAGCCAGGGUCCAAUCCCUGUUCUGGGAACUGAGAUCCCACAUCAAGCUGCUGCAUGCCAUAACCACAAACAAAUAAACUCUGCAUUAUGUCACUAAAUUUAGUAUUUUUCAUAAUUCCAAUCUUUUUUCCAAUUAUUUUAAAAUUAAAUAUUUCUGAUCCAAGGAAAUAUAAGAGAAUAGAAUAAAAAUUAUUUUGAGCUUAGAGUAAGAAACCUGGGUUCCAUUUUUCAGUUCUGCAGCCAAUGACACUGAUCUUGGGAUGGUCAAGAUCAAAAGAGGCUUUUAUACUAUUUUUAGUAGCCUAAUACUUUCUUCAUAAAUAAUCAGUUGUAUCCUAAAAUUAGAAACUAAACAAUUAAACUGUUAAUAUUGGUCCUCCUUGAGUAAUGAGCAUUUGAUUUAGGAAAAUCUCCAUGUGCAUGAAUAGCUGGUAGCCCUCUGCAAUCUCCUUCUACUCUGCCUCUUCCAUAGAGUCCAGAAACUAGGAACUGGAAUUCUAUGAUAGUCAGACCUGGCAGGGAUUUAUCUAUUCUGGCAUACUUUAUUACUUUUAUUGGUCCUUCAUGCCCAACUCAUCUGUCUCCAGCAAUUUUUCACAGAUGAACAUGCAUUCUAUUUAGUCCUCUUCCUUUAUUCUAUGAAUCUUAUCUAGUUUCUUCAAGGAGAUACAUUUCUACUUCUUAAUUCUCUCCUUUCCCCUAUGCCAUCCUGGCUUUCUCAACCUGUUCAAUUUGUUUCUCUUCCUGUUCAGUUUGUGAUUCUAAUCAUGGCUGCUUAGAGCAGAGCUAGUGGUACAACUCCACUCAGGCAAAGGAAAUCUGAAAAUUUUGAAGUGACAAGAGAGAGCUAGUGCUUUCUGUUUCCAACCCCUCUUUAUAUUCCCACAGACCUCUUCAAAACUUCUAUGAAUGUAUUUCCAUCAGCCUGAUUAAACUUAUUUCUCCUUAAAUUCUAGCACUCAUGAAAAUUAAACUAUUUAACUUUGUGGAUUUUUUUUUUCUAUUUUGCACUACAGCAGUAAUUUAAUACAAGUGUUCAUUCCUACUG